ACCAAUUCUGCCCUACUGAAAAUACGUGGAAUUUCAUGGCUGACUUCUCCAGGAUCAGGAUCAGUCCAUAGAGUGCCCAAAUGCAAAUUUGGUUCCAUCCAUGAAGGCCCUGGUGCACCAGCCCCGGAAGUUUCUUCUCCCUCUCUCCUUAUGCAUAUGUAUAUGGCAGUGUGUCUGAGGUGAGAAAAUUCAAGAUCUGAGGGCACCAAAGAUUGCUGCAAAGCCUGGUGAAGACCACAGCAGUUGACCAGUGGAUUUUCUACCCAAGGGCUGCUGAUCCAAAGGGGCUCCGUGGCAGCAUGGUGGGAGAGAUAUGUGGCUGAUUGUCCUGCACAUUACAAACAACAGGGUAGCCUUCCCAUAGCAGUGAUUCCCACCUGGGAGGAGCUGACAGACUGGGAGAGGACUUGUCCACAUUUACACUGUGUCCCCAGUGCACUGUCCCAUAGUCACCUAACAGUCAGAUAGCACCAGCAAAGAGCAAUUUCAGAGCCCCAAUUAGUGAAUUUACUGACAGCUCAUGGACGUUCCUUUAGCUACACCUUUGCAUUUUUGAGGGUUUGAAAGGGAGCUGAAAUGCUGUUUCAGGUCAGUUCAUUCUUAUUCGAACAAAGGAAGAUUUCCAGCUUUAAG
ensembl:lncRNA